rnacentral:lncRNA from 1 species
GAAAAUUUAAUAAAGGGUAAUUAAGUCCUUCUAGAAUGAGGGUGUAGGAAGAAAUCCCCACUUCUUACCUACGUGUCCAAUGAAUUUACAUGAUAUGAUUUUUUUUUGGGAGUUACUCCCACCACCUUCCCACUUGCUCCCUACAUUUCCCCCUUACAUUUUUAUCCUUUACUCUAUUUUUCUUUAUUCCAAUUUUAUCCUUUAGUAAAAAUUUACUUUUUAUUUCCAUGCUUUCAUCCUUCACCCCCUCGAAAUUCUUUCUCCUAUUCUUUCAAAAUUUUUUUCUCUCCUCACUCUUGUUCAAUUGGUGAUUGUUGUUCAAGUGGUGAUUGUGAUACAAGUGAGAUAUCAAGUCCUGGUGCUCGGACCUUUAACUUGUUAAAAAGCGGUUAGGCGAGGCGAGACGGAUAUCGACAUUCGUCGACGGAUGUCGACAUCCGUUUCAGGACCAAACAGAUGUACGACGUCCGUUUCAGGGCGUGGACGUCUUCUUCCCCUGCACACAACGCACACAGAAACCUCAACAACAAACCACAUAGAAACCAACAACAACAGAAAUCAACUAAAUCCUAAACAUUAUAUUGCAUACAUUUAAAAAAAAAAAAGAACGAAAGGAAAACUAACCUCUCGAGAACCACCGCGCCACACCGCCGCACCACCACCCACCGCACUGCCGCACACACCGCCGCGCCGCGCUGCACUGCCGCACACACCGUCGCACCUCGCCGCACCACCACACACUGGCCGCACACACCAAAAGCCAAAACCACCACCACGCCAACAAAGAGAAC